rnacentral:rRNA from 1 species
GAGUUUGAUCCUGGCUCAGAUUGAACGCUGGCGACAUGCCUUACACAUGCAAGUCGAACGGCAGCACGGGAGCUUGCUCCUGGUGGCGAGUGGCGAACGGGUGAGUAAUGCAUCGGAACGUAUCCUGGAGUGGGGGAUAACGUAGCGAAAGUUACGCUAAUACCGCAUAUUCUGUGAGCAGGAAAGCGGGGGACCUUCGGGCCUCGCGCUCUUGGAGCGGCCGAUGUCGGAUUAGCUAGUUGGUGAGGUAAAGGCUCACCAAGGCGACGAUCCGUAGCAGGUCUGAGAGGAUGAUCUGCCACACUGGAACUGAGACACGGUCCAGACUCCUACGGGAGGCAGCAGUGGGGAAUUUUGGACAAUGGGGGCAACCCUGAUCCAGCCAUGCCGCGUGAGUGAAGAAGGCCUCGGUUGUAA